rnacentral:misc_RNA from 1 species
GUUUUGUCUUCGAAGAAGUGUAGUUUUUGCUGGUUUUUAUUGAAAAAACAUUCUCUAUUUUAUACAAAUCUUCUUUAUUUUUACAAAAUGUAGUGCAAGGGUAAGUCUUUUAUAUUUGUUGAAAGAAAUGGCUGCAGAAUUAGAGGAGUCAGAGGCUGGCGAAGAGACAAAUGAAGUGGAAAAGACACGUGAAGAUGAGGAUGGAGACGACUACUCGACAGAGAAACGUGGAAAGCACUCCAAAAAACAUAAACACAAACACUCCAAAAAGCACAAGCACAAACAUAAAAAACGAAAGCAUAAAAAGAGAUCACCCUCUCGUUCAAGAUCUAAAUCUUCAAGCCGUUCGCGCUCAAGAUCUCCGGAUUCAAAUGAUGAGCUUGAAGAGGAAACAGCUAAAUCUGAUGUAGCUGAUGAAGCUGACAUGAAAGUUGUUUCAAGCGAAGAGAAUGGAAUAGUGAAGUUAGAAUCUCAAAAUAAAACCAUGAGUUUAGGCGAAGAAACUAAAGAUUCAACAUUUGAAGAAUUUGCACUGGCAGAAGUUGAGAAUCUUUCUUUCAAGUUAACAAAAUCUCCUCCUUCGAGCGUUACAUGUAGUCCAUCGUCAACCCCUGUCAAUGAAGCUGAGGUAGCCAAGGCAGUAACUAAGAUUCCUGAUGUUUCAAAAAUAGAGAAUAAGGUCAAUUUAGGAUUUCCUAUGAAAAUAGGCUCAUUUCCAAAGAGCAGAUCAAAGUCACCUGAUGUCUCUGAGGAAAUGCUUGAAGGUAAGAGAUCAAGAUCACCAUCUGAUCCUGAAAUCAAAAGGAGAUCAAAAUCACCAUUGGAUCCUGAGACCCUAAACAUAUCACAAUCUCCCUCUGAUCCCAAGAAAUCAAAAUCACCUCAAUCUAAGAUCAAGAAGGUAUCGCGGUCACAUUCAAGAUCUAGAUCAAGAUCCAGAACAAAAACACAAUCAAGAAAGAGUUCAUCCAAAUCUCCAAGAAGGCAUUCAAAAAAGAAAUCCAGAUCUAGUUGGUCAUCAAGGUCAAGAUCCAGGUCGAGAUCCAGGUCAAAAUCAGGCUCAAGAUCACGUAACAAGCAUAGACAUUCAACUAAAUCAAAGUCUAGAAGCAGAAGCCCUCAAAGACACAAACCAAGAGGCAGGUCUCGAUCUAGGUCUCCUUCUCUUUCUAGAAAGAAAUCAAGGAAAAGAGAGAGGUCUCUAGGUAGGUCUAGAAAAAGCCGUAGUAGAUCACCUAGAAAGAAAUCAAGGCGAUCUCAUGACAGUAAAACUAGAGACAGAAGUAGAAGUCCAACUUACAGAGAUGGUAGAAGCAAAAGAGAGACUUUCUACGACAGGAAACAAGAUUAUUCUAGUAGAUCUAGAAGGUCUCGAUCACAUGAAAACAGAUAUUCAAGACGAUCCAGAUCAGUAACUCCACCAAAGUCACACAGACGUAGAAGUCAUUCGAGGUCAACCAGAAGAAGACGUUCUAGAUCUCCCAGAAGGGGACGUUCUAGAUCUCCAAGAAAGGAAAGGCAUAGAUACCGAAGUAGGUCCAGAUCCUUAUCAUCUCGUAGAAGGAGGAGUAGAAGCCGCUCAAGAUCAAAAGAUGGACAUCGUAGAAGAUCAAGAUCAAAAUCUAAGGAAAAGAUUGAUAUUGAAGAGAAGAAAGGAGGAGAAAAGAGCUCGAGUGAAGCACCUGCUGUGAUCACUAACCUGAAUACCAAUAAGCCAACAGCUCAAGAUUUAGUUGGAAAAGCACCAACGGUUUCUGAUCCCUCAAAUAAAAGAUCAUUAGCUCAACUCACUGAGUUUUGCAAGAAGUUGACAGAAGCUAGAGGUAUUGAAAUUGAAGGAAAUGCAACAGAAAAACCAACGGAGGAAGAAGAGGAUGACGUAUCAGUUGAAAUAUCCCAUCCAUUUCUUGUCGCACCAAAGAAAGAUAUAACCAUUCCCCCAGUUAUUUUACCUCCAAUGAGACCAUUAGCCUUUCCUUUGGUGAGCUCGGACAAACCUCUAACAGAGCAGUUUCCAGUGUCUUGUGGAACAAAGCAUCAUGAGAAAGAGCAGGAAGAAGUCAGUGUGGGUGAAGUAAUCCCUUAUGUAGAUGGGUCAGCACACCAGCCACAGCAAGUAUUCAUGCCACCACAGAACCAAGAGAAACUGGACAUCAGCGGACUGGUAGUGAAAAGGAUGGAGGCUCAGCGUCGACUCCAGGCUGAUCCUAAUGAUUUAGACGCAAUGUUAUCCCUACAAGAAGUGGAAAUGAAACUAAACAGCUGGUGCCAGUCCAACGUCAAACCUGGACAGUUUACUGGACAACUGGCCAAGAACAUGAUGCCAAAAGAAAAGAUGAAUACUGGAUAUCAGGCCUGGGCAAGAAAGGAUAUGUUCCAUAACUUGAACCCAAUAUCAGGUGGUGUUGGCAUGAAACUGCUGCAGAAGAUGGGCUGGGAGCCAGGACAAGUACUGGGGAAGAGAGGACAAGGGAUGGUAGAACCCAUUGCCCUUACUGUCAAGGUUGACAGGAAAGGCCUGAGCUCUAAUACUGAAAAACCUGUUGGCAAAAAAGGUGGUGGAAGCAAACAGAUUAUUGAUUUACAAGAGAAGGUUUUUGGCUUUGUGUUUGACAUGAAUACACUGUCAGCAAGCCAUUUAGUUUGCAUGGCCUAUUGACACCAAGUUUAGCAUACAGCAGAGGAUAUGGUUACCAUAGUGAUGUCAAAUGACUGGAAUAACAGGAUACUCUUGUUCCUAACUGGGACUGUAAGGGAAACACCCUAUAUCAUCUCUUCAGGAGUACUGUGCAAGAAGAAAGUGGCAAGUCCCAGAGUUUACUCUGAUAUUCGAUGAAGGGCCACCCCAUUCUAAGCAGUUUCUGUUUAAGGUUGCAGUGAAUGGUU